CAGUACAAUGUAAACAGGCAGGAGAAAAGUACGAGGAGAAUAUUAUUUGGAUGGAAGCAUAUGUCGAAGAAAUCGUAUCAGCUGAUAACAGCAAAUAAGGGCGGCGGGAGUGUUGUUCUUGAUGUGCCGAAACAGAGCCUUAUAGAUUCAUUGAAAGAGCAAGUAACCGAACACUUUUUCCCUGGUGGAGAAAAUAAAAUACAGGGAUUAAAAACGGAACAUCUCAUAUUGUUCUUGGCAACGUUCACAGGAGAGGAGGUAGAGGGAAACCUAGUAGAUGAUAUACUUAAAAACUUGAAGUCAUCUCCUAUAAGACUGUACCUGCAUUCCCGCCAAAAGACCUGGAGCUGAAAUUGCACAGUUUAAAGAGGGAGUCAAUGAACUGAACAAUAUGUGGGACUUAAUACAGAUGUACUCGCAUCUGUUUAAACAGUUGUUCUGCUACCCAGCUGUGCCAUUGAAAAAGGAAGACUUUGACGAAAUGAUGGAACCUACUUAUUCAGAACCAGGUUCGAACAUGAGAUAUGAGGACGACACGAUGUACAGCUAGGAGCUUUUCCUGCAAGACAUACAAGAUGGAAGUCUACCACUUACAUUUGGGGAACUUAUGUCGUUCAUUACGAGAGCUGACCACAUCCCGCCAUGCGGCUUCUGCCAAAAAGUUGUAAUUAGUUUCUACGACCAAACAGAUGGAACAGUUCGGUACCCGUCAGUGUCAACAUGUGCAUUCUAUCUAUGGCUCCCACGAGGAAUGGAUAAUGCAAAGGAUUUUGCAGAGCUGAUGAUGGAUGCCGUGAAAAAUUCUCACGGUUUUCUAAAAAAUUAAUGCCGUUCAAUUUCAGUUACAUUUUAAGAGGAGUAUCCUAACAUUGGAGUAUGUGACGAUUUCAGUAAUAGAUCCGUUAAUUAUUGAAAGGAAACAAUUUUUUAACGUUUUAUUUUAAUGUCACAAGUUAGUGGUCUUGAGACUGUUUUAAAGUUUAGUUCAGACUGUUGUAUUUAAAUUUUAACUGUUAAUUGUACCCCUGCCCCCACCCCCUGCACAAACGAAGUUGUAAAGGGGUAUACUGGUUUCAGGUUGUCUGUCUGUCCGUUAGUCCGUCCGUAGACGCAAUAUGUUUUCGCACCACAUCUCUGAAACCCCUUGACACAAUUUAAUGAAACUUCACAUAAGUGAUCAGUACCAACACAGGUUGUGCUUAGGUUCUUUAAAAAAUUGUGUGCAGUUAUGGGACUUUGUUUUUCUUUGUUACCAUGCUCUAUGCAUAGUCUGCAUAUGCAAUCUUGUGCGCGCCGAAUCUGCUUAACCUUUGAACGCAGUUUAAUGAAACUUCAUGCAAGUGAUCAGUACCAAUCCUAGUUGUGCAUGGUGCAUGAUAGGUUCUUUCUGAAAAAUAAAUCUGCAGAGUUAUGGGACUUUGUUUUCUGUGACCAUAUUAUUUACAUAGUUUGCAUAUAAUUUAUUGAAACUUUACACAAAUGGUCAGUACCAACCUUAGAUGUGCGCAGUGCAUGUUAGGUUUUUUUCAGAAAAAAAACUUGCAGAGUUAUGGGACUUUGUUUCUUGUUACUAUUUUAUAUACAUGUUUACAGUCUGCAAAAUUUUGCAAUCUUGUGCGCGUCAAAUAUCCUUAUAUUUAUAUAAGACUCUCUUUUUUUCCCUACAUAGACUUUUUGUGACGUCUUUUAAAUGCAAUAUACCGUGUCAAUGCAAGCAGGGGUUAUAUUCAUCACCUUCAGUGAUAGCUCUAGUUAACAGCUGUCAUCUACAGCGUGUGAAGGAUUACACAUAUAUCUAAUCUUAUGUUUCCAGUGGUGUAACAUGUCACUUUCGGAGAUUUGCAAAUUGUCUAUGUUAAGAGAUUGUCUAUUACGAAACGA